rnacentral:tRNA from 1 species
UAUGAAGUGCCUGAGUAAAGGAUAAUUUUGAUAGAAUUAAUAACGUGAGCCCCCCCCACCUUCAUAAU